AUCUAAUCAAUCUAUAACUAAUCGAAAGUAGAGAAACCCACCUGAUGGAAAGAGAGGGUCUCUGUGAAUUUCCAGUUUGAGGGUAGAAACCGAAGAGGCAAAGAUCGCUCCUACCCACAGGAAGACCACCACCAUGGAAGGAGCUCGAAGGGGCAGAGGAAAGGAAAGACAUGGCUGCCAUCUUCAGAUGAAGCCGAAAGGAAAGACAUGGCUGCCAUCUUCAGGGGCAGCGGAAAGGAAAGACAUGGCUCCACAUGGCUCGAUCCACAUAGAAAUCAAUCAGAGAGCUACAAAUCUAGCAUAAAAUCAAAGGAAAGAAAACGAAGAAGGAGAUGGACAGAAAUCAAUGAGAGAGUCAAGCCGCCACGUAGACAAGGAUUUGAUCCUUAAAUUUCUUAUUUACGGAUCAAUCCUUGUAUUAUGUUGCUCAAAUAAUAGUUUUUUAAUUUGAUAAACAUUGGAUGUGGAGCUAAGGAUCCUUAACGGACCCCCAUUGCAGAUGGUCUAAGUUAGUUUCAGAUUUCGUAACAACUGAGACCACCUCCAUCGGCAGUUAUAAAAGGAGGUUCUAAGCAAAAGACAAAAAAAAAUGAAAAAGAAAAUAAAAACACAGAAUCGAUGUUUAAUUUGAGAUUUUUAGAGUGUGUAAGAACCCCUUACGUGUUCCUUUGGUAAUGGAUAAUCCAUUUUCUCUCUCGUUCGAUCUCCUUCUUCGUUUGAUUCGUUUGAUUCCUCCUCCAACCUCAAUAACUCCAUCUUCUUUUUCACUUCUGAUCUCGAUUUCCUUUUUUGUUUGAUUCGUUUGAUUCCUUCUCUGCAGUUACGAUCGUUUCUCCUCUCGAACCAUCUUCUUCAACGCGUUUGACUCUUCUUCUCUGUAUCUGAGUUAGCAAUGAAGUCAGGAGGAUCAUGAUUGAACCCAAACGCAGCAGCUUACGCACCACUCUCCAAAAGAGAAGGUGAUUAUUCAAAGCAUGUUGCUGCUGAUGCAGCCACACAUGACGUUCAGCACCAACAACCCUAUGGUUAUAGAGUCCAAGGGAAUGGAAGUUCUCCAGACGCUCACAUGAGGGAUGAUGAUUCGGAGACUGAUAUGGAGAUGGAGUUCCUUUUGGCCAACUCCAUCUCCGUGAUGUUUGUCAGAUGAGUCUAUCUGUGAUGUUUACUUAGCCAACUUGAGGUAAACUUAUUUCACUAGUAUCCAUCUCACACUUAAAUUACACCUAGGGUAGAUUGUCC